UAAUAGGGGAGCCGGAGGGAAACCGAGUCUUAAUUGGGCGUUAAGUUGCAGGGUAUAGACCCGAAACCCGGUGAUCUAGCCAUGGGCAGGUUGAAGGUUGGGUAACACUAACUGGAGGACCGAACCGACUAAUGUUGAAAAAUUAGCGGAUGACCUGUGGCUGGGGGUGAAAGGCCAAUCAAACCGGGAGAUAGCUGGUUCUCCCCGAAAGCUAUUUAGGUAGCGCCUCGUGAAUUCAUCUCCGGGGGUAGAGCACUGUUUCGGCUAGGGGGCCAUCCCGGCUUACCAACCCGAUGCAAACUGCGAAUACCGGAGAAUGUUAUCACGGGAGACACACGGCGGGUGCUAACGUCCGUCGUGAAGAGGGAAACAACCCAGACCGCCAGCUAAGGUCCCAAAGUCAUGGUUAAGUGGGAAACGAUGUGGGAAGGCCCAGACAGCCAGGAUGUUGGCUUAGAAGCAGCCAUCAUUUAAAGAAAGCGUAAUAGCUCACUGGUCGAGUCGGCCUGCGCGGAAGAUGUAACGGGGCUAAACCAUGCACCGAAGCUGCGGCAGCGAACGUAUCACCCAAGACAACUUUACGGAGUUGACGAUUGACGGAGCGAAGCGACGUCAAAGCGUUCAUUAAAGUCGAGUUGGCUUAGGGAUACGUUCGUUGGGUAGGGGAGCGUUCUGUAAGCCUGUGAAGGUGUGUCGUGAGGCAUGCUGGAGGUAUCAGAAGUGCGAAUGCUGACAUAAGUAACGAUAAAGCGGGUGAAAAGCCCGCUCGCCGGAAGACCAAGGGUUCCUGUCCAACGUUAAUCGGGGCAGGGUGAGUCGACCCCUAAGGCGAGGCCGAAAGGCGUAGUCGAUGGGAAACGGGUUAAUAUUCCCGUACUUGGUGUUACUGCGAAGGGGGGACGGAGAAGGCUAUGUUGGCCGGGCGACGGUUGUCCCGGUUUAAGCGUGUAGGUGUGUGUUCCAGGUAAAUCCGGUUCACUUUAACACUGAGGCGUGACGACGAGGCACUACGGUGCUGAAGCAACAAAUGCCCUGCUUCCAGGAAAAGCCUCUAAGCAUCAGGUAACAUCAAAUCGUACCCCAAACCGACACAGGUGGUCAGGUAGAGAAUACCAAGGCGCUUGAGAGAACUCGGGUGAAGGAACUAGGCAAAAUGGUGCCGUAACUUCGGGAGAAGGCACGCUGACACGUAGGUGAAGUGAUUUACUCAUGGAGCUGAAGUCAGUCGAAGAUACCAGCUGGCUGCAACUGUUUAUUAAAAACACAGCACUGUGCAAACACGAAAGUGGACGUAUACGGUGUGACGCCUGCCCGGUGCCGGAAGGUUAAUUGAUGGGGUCAGCGCAAGCGAAGCUCCUGAUCGAAGCCCCGGUAAACGGCGGCCGUAACUAUAACGGUCCUAAGGUAGCGAAAUUCCUUGUCGGGUAAGUUCCGACCUGCACGAAUGGCGUAAUGAUGGCCAGGCUGUCUCCACCCGAGACUCAGUGAAAUUGAACUCGCUGUGAAGAUGCAGUGUACCCGCGGCAAGACGGAAAGACCCCGUGAACCUUUACUAUAGCUUGACACUGAACAUUGAGCCUUGAUGUGUAGGAUAGGUGGGAGGCUUUGAAGUGUGGACGCCAGUCUGCAUGGAGCCGACCUUGAAAUACCACCCUUUAAUGUUUGAUGUUCUAACGUGGACCCGUAAUCCGGGUUGCGGACAGUGUCUGGUGGGUAGUUUGACUGGGGCGGUCUCCUCCUAAAGAGUAACGGAGGAGCACGAAGGUUGGCUAAUCCUGGUCGGACAUCAGGAGGUUAGUGCAAUGGCAUAAGCCAGCUUGACUGCGAGCGUGACGGCGCGAGCAGGUGCGAAAGCAGGUCAUAGUGAUCCGGUGGUUCUGAAUGGAAGGGCCAUCGCUCAACGGAUAAAAGGUACUCCGGGGAUAACAGGCUGAUACCGCCCAAGAGUUCAUAUCGACGGCGGUGUUUGGCACCUCGAUGUCGGCUCAUCACAUCCUGGGGCUGAAGUAGGUCCCAAGGGUAUGGCUGUUCGCCAUUUAAAGUGGUACGCGAGCUGGGUUUAGAACGUCGUGAGACAGUUCGGUCCCUAUCUGCCGUGGGCGCUGGAGAACUGAGGGGGGCUGCUCCUAGUACGAGAGGACCGGAGUGGACGCAUCACUGGUGUUCGGGUUGUCAUGCCAAUGGCACUGCCCGGUAGCUAAAUGCGGAAGAGAUAAGUGCUGAAAGCAUCUAAGCACGAAACUUGCCCCGAGAUGAGUUCUCCCUGAGACUUAGAGUCUCCUGAAGGAACGUUGAAGACGACGACGUUGAUAGGCCGGGUGUGUAAGCGCAGCGAUGCGUUGAGCUAACCGGUACUAAUGAACCGUGAGGCUUAACCUU
rnacentral:rRNA from 1 species